CUCAGCUGUGGGGACAGGUCUCCAGGACAGUGCAUGGCGGAAAGGGCAAGAACAAGUCCAAGCAGUGAGGACAGAAUCCAGGAGGGAAUAUAGCGAUACAGCACAAAAAAGAAAAA